AAGAGGAAGUGAGAGCGCGGGUAAAUUUAACGGCCUUGACUAACAAAGUCGCGACGGAGAAGUGUAUGUGAACCUUUGUACUAAACAAUAUAUAUCUGGUGUCUUAGAUUAUCUGCUCGACAGUCUUCACCAGGACACUCAGUUUACAUGUUUUCUGGAGCAGUUGGAGAUAUUUCUAUUCGAAGUUUGUCGCACAGUUGUUCGCGUGUGUGUAUUAGCUUCAAACAUUUAUGCUAGCUCGUUAGCCUACUGAGUGUAUUCUGUUAGCAUUCAUUAGAAAAGUGAAUGGACUUUUAGCCACUGUAUAGCUAAACUAGCUCAUGCUCAAUGCUUUAAUUCACUGUUUUCCGACGUGGAAACCCUGAGGAUUUAUGAGACUAAGAGGUAUGUAGUCAACGUUCAGAGUGUCUCUGGACUCCUACUACACAGGAGGGAUCACACACCUGCUCUUCACCGAGAGACCGAGGUAACAUCUACAGAUACGGGGCUACCUUUGGACACCUGUUUGUCAUCUGGUUCUUCACCAGAGACCGAGAGCCUGGUAAAAGCUGCAGCCUGGACUGAGAUCUCAUAAUCAAGAAGGAUACUACUACCACUGCUGCCAAGGGUAUCCAAUACGAACAGGCGACGGAGCCAGGUGGAGGCAGUGUUGUGUAACAUAAUAUGGGGCAACUGGAUAUUGGUUCGAGCCACAGGACUCCCGUACCUGACCGAAUAUAAUACAGACUCAGCUGAUGGAAGACACAACGCCACACUGAUGAUGGUCUUCACUCUCACCGUAAAACCAUCAUCACUAUCAUCUCUCCUCCUUCUGAUACAAGGAGUAAGUGACUGUUUCAGCCUGAAGGACUUUCUUAUUCAUCAUCCAUAUACCUUAUAUUGGGUGAAUCUGUACUGAAGCUCUGAUUCCUGGAUACAUUUCAUGCAGGAUUCAACUUCACAGAGACUGAUCACCACACUCUGGACAUCUUAAUAUCUCUAGUUAAUGAAAUAUUACAACAUUAAAAAGGUGUUCCUCUAGUUAUUGCAAUCCCAUAAUAUGGAAAAUAAUGUUUUUGACAGUAUGCUUUUGACCAAUAUGCUAGUUCCUACCAACAGAUGUAAGCCAGUGGAACUCUUUUGCUCUUGCACUGAGGUUUGUCUUCAUGGUAUCUGCAGCAGCCUGAAGCUGGAUGUAGCUGUCACCAACUCCCUGGAGCUUUACUGUGGGUGCAGAAUACAUUGUAUUUCACCAGUGUGUCCAGAGUUUAAUGAAAAUGACAAAAUAAAACCUGAAUAUUUUAUC